CGUGAAUGAUGUUGAGGAAGUGUGCUGGCCCAUGUGAAGAGCUUGGAAGCGGGAGCGCUUCGGCCGGUCCAUGCGCGCGAAGAUUGGUGAAGGCGGGCCAUGUGCGUGAAGAUUGUGCUUUGGCGGGGCCCACGUGCGUGAAGGUUGGUGAAGGCGGGCCAUUUGCGCGUUGGUGAGGUGGAAGCAUGCCUUGGGCGGGCCCGUGUGCGUGAAUUGGGGAAGUGCAGGUCCAUGGGCUGUCCAUGUGUCUAAGUUGCUUGAUUUGGAUCCAAUUUGAUAGGCUUGCUCUCUUUUGCUCCAAAUAAGGCAGUUUUAGGGGCAUUUUCUCCAGAUUGUCCUUUUACACCAUUUUCUGCAAAAUAAUAUUAAAAGCAAUAAAUUAAGCAGAAAUCAUGUAAAUAUUUAUCAAUAAUAUUAAUAUAAAAUGGACUAAUUUAUGCUCUAUCAAAUACCCCCACACUUAGCCUUUUGCUUGUCCUCAAGCAAAUAAACAUAGUCAAACAAGCUUUAUUUGCUCUAGAUCCUUAUUUUCACUUAAGCUCUUACUCAAGACACCUAUUUUGAAGCAUUGUAGUGAAGAAUAUAUGCGUGAAGAUUACUCACCUUCCUUCCUUGUUUCUCUUUACUCACCAUGGCUAGGAUUUGUUUUGCUCAAGAGAGACCAUACAUGCACAUUUUUGUUAAGACUUUUUCUAGCUUUCAGAGUGACUUACCCUUACCUUGAAGUACUUUAUUCAGGCUUUUGCACUUAGAUUUUGCUUGAAAAAGUCACCAACCUUUUGAUGUGAAGGUACAUAUUUGUGAUACCCACCCCCAGUUACUCAGUUGGUCAUCUUUUCAAGUGGCUACUAGCUCUGUUCUUAGCCUUUUGACCAUUGGAACAAUUCUUUUACUUUGUGAUUUUGAGGUCUUUGCCUUUGCUGAAUUUUGUUUCUCUCAAUGAUUUGGGCAAAUCAACACCAAUUGCUAAAUCAAGUCACAUUAAGUUCAUUCACACAACUUUUAAUUUAUUCUCAUCAAUUGAGGGUCAUCAAUAUAUUUUUCACUAUUGGCAAGCUCAAAGAUUCAAUUCAAAAGGAAAUUCUCAAACAUGAAUAUAACUCACUGCAAUUGAUUCAACAUAAGUUUAAAGAGUUAUCUCAUCAAUGGGGUCAUGGAAAGAAAAGCUCAUCCAACAUAGUUCAUCAGUUUGAGUAGAGCAAAACAAAAAGAAGAAGGUUAUGGUUGUGCGUGUUUUAUUGAAAGCAAAAAUAAAAAAUUUUCAGACUGUGGCUAAUUAAACUGAAAGAAACGCAAAAUGCAAAAAACUGAAAGGGAAAUUUCUCAAAUCUGAAAGAGAAGGGAGGAGAAGAGGAAAAGAAGAGGAGAAGGAGAGAAGAAGAGAGAUAUGCACCCCCACACUUAAAUCAUGCAUUGUCCUCAAUGUAAAAGAAAAGAAAAGAACAAAGGAAUCUGAAUACUCCCCUGGGGUGUGGUGCACAUGGUGUGAUCCUCUUAGGCAGAAUGAGUGACGAACAAAUGUUCGUCUGGGAAGGCUUCCUCAACUGGACAAGGCGCAGAACUGGAUGGAAGCCGACUAAGGUGAUCAGCCACAAGAUUUUCCUUACCUUUUUUGUCUCUUAUCUCUAGAUCAAAUUCUUGUAGGAGAAGAAUCCACCGAAUUAGUCUCAGUUUUGCUUCCUUUUUCUUGAUCAGAUAUCGCAGAGCUGCAUGGUCAGAAUAGACAAUGACUUUGGUGCCCAAGAGGUAAGGUCUGAAUUUUUCUAAAGCGAAUACAACUACCAAGAGCUCUUUUUCAGUUGUUGUGUAGUUGCUUUGUGCAGCAUCUAGUGUGCGAGAGGCAUAGUGAAUGGCGUGGGGUGAGUUUCCCACACGUUGUCCCAAGACUGCUCCUACUGCAUAAUUGCUUGCAUCACACAUGAUUUCAAAGGGCAAGCUCCAGUCAGGUCCCUGAAUGAUUGGGGUAGUCACAAGCAAUUCUUUAAUCAAAUCAAAUGCCUUUUUACAAUCUGCAUCAAAAUCAAAUGUUACAUCCUGUUGGAGCAAUCUGCAUAAUGGCAAAGUAAUUUUUGAGAAAUCUUUGAUGAAUCUUCUAUAGAAUCCUGCAUGGCCAAGGAAUGACCGAAUUUCUCUAACAUUAGUGGGGUAAGGCAGAUUUUUAAUGGUAUCCACCUUAGCCUUGUCCACUUCAAUGCCCUUAGCUGAAACAACAUGUCCUAAGACCAUACCUUGAUUAACCAUAAAAGGACAUUUUUCAUAAUUAAGCACAAGGUUAGUCUCAAUGCAUCUUUGUAAGAUCUUUUCCAAGUUGGCAAGGCAUUCCUCAAAAGAGUUACCAUGCACUGUGAAAUCAUCCAUGAACACUUCAAUUGUCUUACCCACAUAAUCAGAAAAUAUACUCAUCAUGCGUCGCUGAAAGGUGGCAGGUGCAUUGCAUAGUCCAAAUGGCAUUCUCCUAAAGGCAAAAGUGCCAAAAGGACAAGUGAAGGUGGUCUUCUCUUGGUCCUCAGGAGCAACUGGAAUCUGAUAAAAACCUGAAUAACCAUCAAGACAACAGUAAUGGGACUUACCUACAAGUCUUUCUAGCAUUUGAUCAAUGAAGGGAAGAGGGAAGUGGUCUUUCCUUGUUACAACAUUGAGCUUCCUAUAGUCCAUGCAUACCCUCCAUCCAUUUUGAACUCUCGUGGGAACAAGUUCCCCUUCAGCAUUUGGGACAAUGGCAAUUCCAGUUUUCUUUGGAACUACAUGCACCGGACUCACCCAUUUGCUAUCAGAGAUAGGGUAGAUAAUACCUGCAUCAAGGAGCUUGACUAUUUCUUUCUUCACUACUUCCAUCAUAGGUGGAUUCAGUCUUCUUUGAGCAUCUCUGACUGGCUUGCAUUCAUCCUCCAUGUGUAUUCUAUGCAUGCAUGUGGAAGGAGAAAUACCUUUUAUGUCAUCUAUUGUAAUACCCGGCUAGAUUCCGGCAUCGGAAUCUCUACCUUCCGGCGGAAUCUCCGUUGGAAUCUGGAGUUUCGGGGAUGCCAGAGGCUUUUAGAGGGGUAAAAUGUGUUUUCUCAAAUGUCUUUACUGAUUUUUGGGUUUAAAUGGAAAAGAAUUGAGUUUUGAAAAGGAAGAGACCAAGGAGACAUUUGCCAGGUUCGGCCGCCGAAAGUGAAGUUCGGCCGCCGAACAUGGAAAGGCUUCGGGAGCGCCUUUGGCCUCCGAAAGUCUUGUUUGNNNNNNNNNNNNNNNNNNNNNNNNNNNNNNNNNNNNNNNNNNNNNNNNNNNNNNNNNNNNNNNNNNNNNNNNNNNNNNNNNNNNNNNNNNNNNNNNNNNNNNNNNNNNNNNNNNNNNNNNNNNNNNNNNNNNNNNNNNNNNNNNNNNNNNNNNNNNNNNNNNNNNNNNNNNNNNNNNNNNNNNNNNNNNNNNNNNNNNNNNNNNNNNNNNNNNNNNNNNNNNNNNNNNNNNNNNNNNNNNNNNNNNNNNNNNNNNNNNNNNNNNNNNNNNNNNNNNNNNNNNNNNNNNNNNNNNNNNNNNNNNNNNNNNNNNNNNNNNNNNNNNNNNNNNNNNNNNNNNNNNNNNNNNNNNNNNNNNNNNNNNACAACCCUCGAUCUUCAAGAGGUAAGUGUAGAUCCUUGCUUCCCUAGUGUUUUUAUGAAGUUUUAUGAAGGUUUUGAUGGUUGAGUAUGGGUAGAUAUGCAUGUUAGGAUUUAUGUGGGUUUUAUGCCCAAUGUAUGAUUAUAUGUGUUUAUGUGAUGAUAUGUUGUUAGUUUAUGCUCCUUUAUGCAUGUGGGAGUGAGUAUGCAUGAUUGGGAAAGAGUAUGUGAGGAUUUGGGUUGUUUUGAUGGUUUUGGUCUAUGUGGGUCAUAAGCUAUCUAUGUAUGUUUUGUUGUUGUUUUUGGAGUUUAAUCAAGCUAUUAAGCUCCUUUGUGCAUGGCUAAGGGUUUAUGCAUGUUUUGGUAAGGUUGGGUGCUUGUUUUGGGGUGUUUGGAAGGUUUGGGAGGCUCAAAUGCAUGAGAAGCUGAGUUUUGCCCUUCUGGGAAGAACUCAGGUUCGGCCGCCGAAAGUGGCUUCGGCCGCCAAACCUGCCUUUGGAUGCAUGGAUUGGCUGCCUAACCUUGCCCCCGAAAGUUGAGCUUUGGCUUGAAAGCAGACUUUCGGCCGCCGAAGGAAGGAUUCGGUCGCCGAAAGUGCCUGACUUUCGUCUCUGGAGUGGGACUUUCGACCGCCGAAGGUGCCGCCGAAAGUGCCCGAGUUUCGUCUCUGGAGGGAGGGUUCGGCCGCCGAAGGCGCCGCCGAAAGUGCCCUGUCCAGCCUUUUCAAGGUUGUUUUCUAUGCAUGUUUAAGUGAUGUUUUAGGGGGUUUUUGGAGGUAUGUUUAUGAGUUGUUUAGAGUGUGUUGGCACCUCAUUCGAGUCCACCUGUGUAGGAUCGGACCCGAGGGACCGAGGAGGCCAGUAGUGCUAGCAGUUGCAGAGUCAGUCAGCAUCUGCCAGGAGGUGAGUAGAACUAAACUUAAUUUUUAUUUUAUGAAAUCAAAUGCCUAGAGCAUGUUCAUACAUCAUGUUUAUAUGUAAUAGGUUGAUUGCACUAGUUACACGAAUAUGAAGCAUUGCAUUAUUUACUGUUAAUGGAGAUUGGACCAAGGACGACCCCACUAGCCCUAUGGAUAAGACCUGGCUGGGCCAGGCAUUACGAAGUCCUGUGGUGCCCUCUAUGGUGGCCGGGCAAAUAGCUUAGGGAUGUUUCGGGGUUGGGUCCAAUCCGUGAUAUGACUUGUUUGUGCUGUGACGCAUUUCAUAAAUGCAUGUAAUUAAUGAAUUGUUUUCCUUGUUUCUACUCACUGGGCUUUUUAGCUCACCCCUCUCCCCUAACCCCAGUUUUGCAGGACCAGAGCUAAGUUAAGCCAGAGUAAGUCAGAGUAAGCUAUGGGGAAGGAAGAGUGAUGCAUGGUUUGCUGUGUUUUGAUGUAAUAGUAUAGCUUAGUGUAUGUAUAUGGUAAGUAGCUGGAUAUAAAGAGAUGUAUGCCUGUAUGCUUGUUUACUUGAAUAGUAUAGUGGUGGACAUGAUGUAUAUAAAGGAUAUGAUAUGAUGAUGUAUGUAAAGUUAUGUUUAUGGAUUAGUACUGUGCUUGACCCUGAGACUCGGUUAGUCCCUGUUUAAUACAUGAUGUAUGUAAUGUUUUAGGAUGUUGAGUUGUGUUUGAACUAAUCUUGUGGCAUGUGUUGUUUACCACGCUAUGGUAAUUGAUGAGGGCCCUGCAGGAGGUCUUAUGUUUGUGGUUUGAUGCAUGCACAGGUUAGGUUCUAGUUCCUUGGAUAUAAUCCCAGCUUGAUGUAUGUUAUGUUGACCCAGCUAGAGUUUUGAUGAGGGCUCUAGUAGGGGAUCCUUUUAUGUUUUCAGCUAUGUUGCAUACAGGUCAAGCUCGGUCUAUACAUCUUAUGUUUCAGUUUUUAUGUUAAAGUUUUCAUCAUGUAGGGGAUUUGACCAGGUGAUAGGAGGUAUGUUUGGCUUGCUACGGGUCCCGGCGGCCUUAAGCCGAUCUGGAUCCUAGCGCCGGUGGCGAUACGGGCCGUUACGGUAGGGUAUCGGUUUCCGGGCUGUUACAUCUAUGGUCCAUCCUAUGGCUUCUUUGUGUUUCUGGAGUACUUUCAGGAGGCUUGCUUCUUCAUGUAGGUUCAAUUCAUUGGACACUAUUACUGGUAUGUCUUAUCAGUUCCCAAGUACAUGUAUUUCAGAUGUCCUGGAAGAGGCUUCAGAUUUGAAGAGUGUUGCAAAGGUGUUUGCGCAGAGGUGGUUUCAGAAAUCUCCUUUUGUGCAAGGUUUGACUGCAAAGGAGAACUAGAAGAGCUUGCUUGCAUUGGAGACUGCAAGGGUGCGCAUGAAGGUGUCUCAGUUUGCGCAAUGCCCUUCUGCGCAUUCUUCUGAAGAGGUGCUUCAGAGGUUCCUUCAUUCCGUGCUUGACUGCAAACUAUCUGUUGGAUGCUACAGACUGUUUCCUUAAGUUUUGGCUCUUUCUGUACCUGAUCAGUAUCUCUGCAGAAAUCACUAUUAAGAAUAUCAUCUUGAUUUUCAUAAAAAAUUUCCUGGCUCAAGCAGUCAACAAUAUCAAGACCAUAAACAGGGGACAUAUCGUGUGGAUAUUUCAUAGAAUCAUAGACAUUAUAUUUAAUAACUUCCCCUUCAAAUUCCAUGGUCAAAGUACCAUCAUGCACAUCAAUUUUAGUCCUAGCAGUACUCAAGAAGGGACGUCCAAGAAGUAUAUCAGAACUAGUAUUGCAACUAUCUUCCUUUGUAUCAAUCACAUAAAAAUCAGCAGGAAAGACUAGUUCAUCUACUUGUACUAACACAUCUUCUAGAACUCCUAUGGGAUAUACCACGGAUCUAUCAGCUAGUUGUAUCACUACUCUUGUGUCUUUCAGUGCACAUGCAUUCAGAGAUUUAUAGAUGGAGAGAGGCAUGACAUUUAUGGAUGCACCAAGAUCACACAUAGCUUUCUUUAUACCAACAUUUCCAAUUUUGCAAGAGAUAGCAAACAUACCUUUAUCCUUGCAUUUAGUAGGGAGUUCUCUUUUGAUAACAGCAGUAACUACUUCACCUACACUUACUUUUUCUCUUUAAGCAAGCUUUCUUCUAUUGGUGCAAAGCUCUUUCAGAAAUUUUGCGUACCUUGAAAUUUGCUUGAUAGCAUCUAGCAGUGGUAUGUUGAUCUCUACUUUUCUGAAAGUCUCAAGGAUCUCCUUUUCUUCUUUUUCUUUUUGCGUUCUUUUAAAUAUUUUUGGAAAAGGAGGUGGAAUGUGAAAACUUACUUUUGGAUUAGUCUUGUGCGCAGGAGGUGGUUCGGAUUGCAUGGGAUCUUGCGCAACUCGUGUAGGCUUUAGUGGAGGUUGUUUUUCUUCCUCAUAUCUUGCAUCUUGAAGCUUUUUUCCACUUUCAAAGUAAUAGCACUAACAUUCUGUCUGGGAUUAGUUUCAGUUUGAGAAGGGAGCUUACCUUGGGAUUCAGAUCUGCCGAUGGAUGCAGCCAGUUGGCCUAUCUCUUGUGGCAUGCCUUGCAUGGUGUUUACCAUUGUUUCCAUCAUUGUUUGCAUAAUCUUUUCAAGGUGCUGAUUUGGAUUUGGAGGUGUUGGUUAGGCUUGGUUUUUUUGGUAAUUUUGGUAAUUCUGAUCAUUGUUGGCCUUUCCAUAGCUGAAGUUGGGAUGGUCUCUCCAACCUGGAUUGUAUGUAUUGGAAUAUGGAUCAUGUCUAGGCUGGUUGUUGUACCUCCCAAUUGCAUUGACUUGAUGAUUGUCUUCUUGGAGGGUAGGACAUUGAUCAAUUGGAUGUCCCACAUAUGAACAGAUACCACAUGGCCUAGAAGGCUGGGGUGCUUGAAUCUGUUGCACUACUUCUAUGGCAAUAUUUUUCAUAACAGAUGUUAGUUUGGAAAUAGUAGGAAAACUUACCUCAUUGGCUCUUUGUAGUUGUUUCUCCUCUCCAUAUUGCCUAGAUGAGGCUGCAAGAGUGGAGAUUAACUCUCUCAUCUCCCUAGGUGUCUUGUCUAUAAUGGAUCCUCCACAAGCUACAUUUAUGAAUUUUCUUUCUGAUGGGAGCAAUCCUUCAUGGAAGAAUUGUAUGAGGGCUUUGUCUGACAUAUCAUGUUGUGGACAAUCUGUACAUAGUCUUUCAAACCUUUCCCAAUAAUCAUAUAAGUCCUCAGUUUGUUUCUGUCUUAUGCUAGUGAUUUCUCUUAUUAUGCCAAUUGAUUUAGAUGGUGGGAAGUAUUUGUCCAAAAAAAUUUGGACCAUAUCAUCCUAAGAAGUGAUAGAUCCAGGUGGCAAAUAAAAUAACCAAUCCUUAGCAUAGUCAUCUAAUGAAAAGGGAAAAACUCUUAACUUAACAUGAUCUUCAGAUAUACCUUGAGGUCUCAUGGAUGAACAAACAAUAGUGAAUUCUUUCAAGUGCUUGUGUGGAUUUUCAUUUUCUCUACCUCUAAAUUUAGGAAGAAGAUGUAUCAAACCUGUCUUUAGUUCAAAGGGAACUGUAAGAGGCGGAUAGGUGAUGCAAAGUGGUGCAUGAUCACCUACAGGAGUUGCCAAUUCUCUCAUGGUUCUUUCUCUUUGUACUGGGGGCCUAAUUGCUGGAUUUUCUUGAAUGAUUUGGUUCUGGACUGCAUGUCUAUUAUUGGCAGCAACUUGUGGAUUAGGUUCAGCCAUUGGUGCGGCUUGUGGUGCGAUUGGAGCUUCUUUCGGAUGAACUGCUUGCUUUCCUAGUCUUCUGAAAGUGCGUUCUAUUUUCGGAUCGUAAGGCAGAGUAUCCCUACAUUCAGAUCUGGUCAUGAAAGAAAAAUAAAUAAGUUAAAUCAAUUCCCCGGCAAUGGCGUCAAUUUUUGACUCACGGUUGUCGAAGCCGGUCAAAAAUAACCUUUCUGGUUAUCAACAAUUUACAACUGCAGAUAGUGGUGAAAGGAUCGAAUCCACAGGGAAUUGAAUACUCACCUAUUUCUCUUUUAUGACCAGGAAAAUAAACUAAAAUGAUAAUAAACUAAAAAUGAGAUAAACUGAAAAAUGGGAUCAAAACUGUCAACAAAAUAACAGGGGGGUUUGAGAUUGAUUGUAGUAAACUAAUAAUGAGAAUAAUAAAUGAAAGCAAAUAAUUAAAUAAAAAUUAAUCAAUAAUGAGAAAGCUCUAGUUGAAGUAUUGGAUCCACUUUAGUUGUUGGGAUUGAUCACAGACACUUUGUUCUUUUGGGUUGAUUUAAUAGAUUAGUUAUGGAGAUGGAAGACGCUUCUCACCACCAUUAUCUCUCCUUAUUAUUAAAUUAAUUAGGGAACGUCCUCUAAUCAAUUACUAAUUAACAAAUUGCCAAGGAACGUCCUUGGGCCAUAGGCAUCAAAACAAUUGUCAAUUGCAUUAAGAAAUAGAGAGAUCCAAUCCUAGUUACCCAAACAUAUGGAGACAACGCUAGAUCAUGCAACUUCCUUGGUUUUUAUGCCAAGUGUUCUUAUGUAAGAAUAACCUAAGCAAUUACGGACUUAAAUCAUUCAAACUAACAAAUAAUUAUUUUGCAAUUAAAAAUCAACGUAGAUCUCAAUAAUAAAAUAAUAUAAAAAUUAAGUAUGAAAUUGCAUGAAUAUUAAAUACCCAAAAGUUAAACAAUAUUUGAUCAAGUCUCACAACCCAUUAAACAACUAAAGCUUCAGUCAAUUAUCCAACUAGAUUAAAGAAAUCAGCCACUCAUGGCUGAAUUAAAAACAAAAAAUAAAAGGAAAAAUAAAAGAGGAAGAAGGAACCAAAGGAUGGAGGCAGAGAGCUCCUUACGCCGGGCUGUGGAAAUUGCCGAAU
rnacentral:lncRNA from 1 species